rnacentral:rRNA from 1 species
UACGUAGGGGGCAAGCGUUGUCCGGAAUCAUUGGGCGUAAAGAGCGUGUAGGCGGUCCGGUCAGUCGGGUGUGAAAUCUCGGGGCUUAACUCCGAAACUGCAUUCGAUACUGCCGUGCUUGAGGACUGGAGAGGAGACUGGAAUUCAUGGUGUAGCGGUGAAAUGCGCGAUAUCGAGAUGAACGAGACCCGUGGCGAAGGCGGGCUCUCGUAGGACUCGU